GAAAUUUGACUCUUUGCUUCUCUUAUUGGGAUUUGUAUAUAAUCUAGUGAUCAGUGUGUUUUACAGAUGCCCCAUCCCCAGAGGAUAUGGAUUUGGUACAGCUACACUUAUGUGAUGGCCACCAGCUUGUGUUGGAAGGCAGGGAAGAGGCACGACCAGAGUAAACACAUACUGCUUAUUCUCAACUGGUGGAUGGUGCUUUGAGGACCAUUACCCCCAGACUGGUUUAAUGUGCACCAGGCGGAGACCAGGCAGAGAGUCAGGUAUCAAGUUCAAAAAAAGAACAAAAUCAAUGGAAGAAAUAUCAGCAAUGAACAUGACAAUACAUGAAUACAAAGGGAUGCAAACGUAAUAAUCUGCUAUAAUAAUGUGUUAAAUAAAGCAUAAGAGACUUAGGGAUUGUGAAAUCAAUAAGAGAAUGCUAAAUCUACAGGAAGGGACACGUUGCAGUAGGCGGUCCAGUUUAUGAAUAAAGAUCAAAGGAGUGUUUUGAGGAGUGUUGGUUGGAAGGAGACUGACAGUAUCCUUUACCAGGG